rnacentral:rRNA from 1 species
GAUGAACGCUAGCGGCGGGCCUAAUACAUGCAAGUCGAGGGGUAGAGUGGAUUCGUCUGCUUGAGACCGGCGCACGGGUGCGGAACGCGUAUGCAACCUGCCCUUUACACGGGGAUAGCCCUCCGAAAGGAGGAUUAAUACCCGAUGGUACUUAAGGAUGACAUCGUUUUUAAGUUAAAGAUUUAUCGGUAAAGGAUGGGCAUGCGUCUGAUUAGCUAGUUGGGGGGGUAACGGCCCACCAAGGCGACGAUCAGUAGGGGUUCUGAGAGGAUGAUCCCCCACACCGGUACUGAGACACGGACCGGACUCCUACGGGAGGCAGCAGUAAGGAAUAUUGGUCAAUGGGCGAGAGCCUGAACCAGCCACGCCGCGUGCAGGAAGAAGGCCCUACGGGUUGUAAACUGCUUUUAUACGGGAAGAAAGUCCCCCUUGCGAGGGGGUGUGACGGUACCGUAGGAAUAAGCAUCGGCUAACUCCGUGCCAGCAGCCGCAGUAAAAC